rnacentral:rRNA from 1 species
AACCCCUGCCAUCUGUUGCCAGCAAGUGAAGUUGGGGACUCAGGUGGAACUGCCGGUGACAAACCGGAGGAAGGUGGGGACGACGUCAAGUCAUCAUGGCCCUUAUGUCCUGGGCUACACACGUGCUACAAUGGCCGGUACAGAGCGCAGCGAAGCCGCGAGGCAAAGCGAAUCGCAAAAAGCCGGUCUCAGUACGGAUUGGAGUCUGAAACCCGACUCCAUGAAGUUGGAAUCGCUAGUAAUCGCGCAUCAGCAUGGCGCGGUGAAUACGUUCCCGGGCCUU